AUUUAUUAGCAAUAAUAAUAAUUGUAGCUAUUAUUUAUAUAACCCUUUAAGGUUUGCAAAGCACUUUACCAAUAUUACCUCAUUCAAUCCUCAAAACUCUGGAAGGAGAGAUUCCUGGUCCCUAUGGCUCAGAUUUGCUUCAAAUGAGGAUCUAGUAUUAUGGGAGAACAGCUUAAUAAUACUAUGAGAAUAAACAAAAGAAAAUCAAAGCAGGAGCCUUGUUACCGCGGAAGACCAUGCCAACUCUGGAGCCCUUUGUUCUGAUCAGGCAGUUCUUCCCUGAACUUAAAUUUAAAGGAAAUCCCCCAGCCCAGCUACAUUCACUCCAUUUCUCUCCAGACUUUUCUCCACCAUGUAUGUCCCCUUGUGAGUACCCUUUUUAUGUUUGAAACUUCCUUUUAUGUACUGUCUUCCUCCAAGAAAAGGUAAACUCAGGGAUUAUAUUUGCUUAUAGUUUCCAGCACAGAGCCCACUGCCUGGCAUAUAUGAAGUGUUUAAUAAAUGAUUGUUGUUAUUAUGCAUUACAGAAAAUAGCAGCUUAAUUGUAAACAAUUUACAGAGAUUGACUGCUAACUAGAAAAAGUUACCCAAAUAUCUUUAAGACAUAGAGGUUUUAUUAAAGUCCAAGUAUUGGAAAAUUUUAGUCACUGAUUGUCCAGUUUUUUACACAACUAUAAAAAGUUCUUAAAUUGUCUAAGAAUAUUUAAGAUAUACAUACACACAGGAAUCAUACCCUAAG